rnacentral:rRNA from 1 species
AUCUGGGCGGCGGAAUUCAGGAUGGUCGGGCGGGCUUCGCGCUCGUCGGGCCGUUUGAUAUUUCCGUCGCCGUGUCAGACGUCGCGACCUGUUCGUCGUCGGUCCUUGCUCGGAGGAAUCGCGUUCGAGUUCGUUGCGGGCGCGUUUCGGCGUGUCCCGCGGCGAAGGCGCGUCUUUCUGGCUGACGACGGACAGUAGGCAACGGUGUCCGGCGUCGUGUCUCGCACUCGGCGUCGGUACCGGUCAGCGACGAUUUCUUCGGGCCUCUUUCCGACCCGUCUUGAAACACGGACCAAGGAGUCUAACAUGCGCGCGAGUCGCGGGGUUUCGAGCGUGCCACGGUGCGCUCGUCACUUCCGAAACCCGUACGUUGAAGGCGUAAUGAAAGUGAACAGGGAAGAUGGCGUUCCGAGUCCACGUACCGUGAUCGAGUAUCGCGGCCGGACGCCCGCACUCCCGGGGCGUCUCAAUGGUUCGUCGCGGAUGCGGACGGUCGUCUCUCGGGGCGGCCGUCGGUCUGCGACGGUCCGA